ensembl:lncRNA
CAAGAGGGCAACUCAGAAAACAUGGCCUAAAAUAAGGAACGAAAUACAAAAAUACAAAGAACUAAGAAUACUGGGCCCACAUGGCCCAGGACCAUGACAAAAAGAGCAGAAGAGCCUGAGAUUUGUGCUGAUAAGAGGUGAAAAAGCUAAAAAUUCUGCUCAAAAGAGGUGAACAUUUUGAACUUUCUGCUGAAAAGAGAUGGAGAAACAGAAAAUUGUGCAGAAAAGGGGUAAAGAAACUGAAAACUGUUGAAAAGAGCAGAAGAGGCUGAGAUUUGUGAUGAAAACAGGUGAAAGAGCUUAACUUUCUGCUAAAAAGAGUUGAAAAAAAUGAAAAUUCUGCUGAAAACAGGCCAAGAAACUAGAAAUUCUGCUGAAAAGACGUGAAUUUGCAGAAUUUCUGCUGAAAAGAGGUAAAGAAGCUGAAGUUUGCAGUGAAAACAGUGAAAAAGCUGAAAUUUGUGUUGAAAAGAGUUUAAAAAAAAGUUGAACUGUUUACUGAAAUAUUUUUUUUGUCAUAAGUGGGAUUUGCCAAAAAAUGGCAUAAAAAGCUUAAUAUCUCAAAAAGUAUGAAAGGUAUGAGCACCAAAAGAUAUAGCUGGCAUUAGCAUAGGGAGCAGAACAGAUUAAAGUUUAAAUGGUGGAAAUCGGCUGAAAACUGAGCAAGUAGUUAACCAGCAAAGGUCGGAGCAACUAGAAUAAGGUAGAAUAAAGUUUAAAGAGAAACAGGAUCUCUUGAGGCAUUCACACAAUAAACAGGAGACAGUUUUUGGUUGUAUGAGUCUCAAACAUACUGGUGCUAGUCCGAGUACAUAUACUGGGUAAGUGACCUGGAAACUUACUGGAAGGUGACUCUAACGCAUGAUAGGUGGAGCAACAUGUGAAACCACAGCCCCUAAAUCAGGGGUAGGCAACUCCAGGCCUCGAGUGCCGGUGUCCUGCAGGUUUUAGAUCGCACCCUGGGUUAACACACCUGAAUCAAAUGAUUAGUUCAUUACCAGGCCUCUGGAGAACUUCAAGAAAUGCUGAGGAGUCAUUUAGCCCAUUAAAUCAGCUGUGAUGGAUCAUGGACACAUCUAAAACCUCCAGGACACCAACACUCGAGGCCUGGAGUUGCCUACCCCUGCCCUAAAUGUUUGUUUACACUGUCUUCUUGAAAUAUCUACUUGUGUAAUUGUGUCUUAAAUUAUCUGUGUCUUUAAAACAGAUAAACGUAUGCUUUUAUAUGAAAUUUUCAGACGACUAAAAAGGACGAUAACUAAAAGGUGUUUCUUGUAAUUCUGUCAGUCUGUAGUCUG